AAUACUGGAUCCAUGCAACAACUUGCUGUGCAUUGCAAUGUGAAAACAUAUUUUGUUUUUUAAAUAUUUUUUAAACUUUUGGAGACACAGACAACACAGGAGUUUUGGACUUUCUGCUAGAGGUCACAAGUCAAGAUGAUGAAACGGAGGAGUCUCCAGGUCAAGAUGAGCUUCCUACGCACACCACUAGAGCUCACCCUCAGGGACAUCUGGGAGCUCUUGAUAGAAUUGCUGAAGCUGAAGUGGUUAAGGCAUACGAUCAGCUGCCUCCCCGUGGUCAGGCACAUCCAAUUGGGAGGAAACCAAGAGCGGACUCGGAGCACACCAGAGGGAUUACAUACCCUGUCUGGCCUGGGAACCCCUUGGGAUCCUUAAGGAAAAGCUGUAGGAUGUGAGGAAGGAUUUCUUGGCUACCUUACUAAAACCUGCUGAGACCUGGAACUAUACAGAUAGAAGACAGACGGGUGGUGGUGUUUUCACUGUUUCCCAUUGGUACCGCUUAUUCUUGUGAUGACUGUCUUCUUCAAAAUCUCCUGUGCAAAGGCGAUUAUCAGUUAUUUUGUACUAAAGGUCUGAGCCUCCAAGGAAACAGC